rnacentral:rRNA from 1 species
GGUUAAGUUAAUAAGGGCGCACGGUGGAUGCCUUGGCACUAGGAGCCGACGAAGGACGUGACAAACGACGAUAUGCCUUGGGUAGCUGUAAGUAAGCGAUGAUCCAGGGAUUUCCGAAUGGGGGAACCCAACAGGUAAUACCUGUUACCCACAUCUGUUAAGGAUGUGAGGAGGAAGACGCAGUGAACUGAAACAUCUAAGUAGCUGCAGGAAGAGAAAGCAAAAGCGAUUGCCUUAGUAGCGGCGAGCGAAACGGCAGAAGGGCAAACCGAAGAGUUUACUCUUCGGGGUUGUAGGACUGCAAUGUGGACUCAAAGAUUAUAGAAGAAUGAUUUGGGAAGAUCAGCCAAAGAGAGUAAUAGCCUCGUAUUUAAAAUAGUCUUUGUACCUAGCAGUAUCCUGAGUACGGCGGGACACGUGAAAUCCCGUCGGAAUCUGGGAGGACCAUCUCCCAACCCUAAAUACUCCCUAGUGACCGAUAGUGAACCAGUACCGUGAGGGAAAGGUGAAAAGCACCCCGGGAGGGGAGUGAAAUAGAACCUGAAACCGUGUGCCUACAACAAGUUCGAGCCCGUUAAUGGG